AGUUUAUUUGACACGGCACGAUACAUUUUCUGUUUUACUGAGCCAAGUACAAUUCGUAUUAAUUCUACGUUAGCAGGGAAAAGAGGGAGGCCUUUUAUUUAUUCUCGCGGCCGACUACGAGCUAGUGGGGAUUUAAGAUUUAGGCUCUUCGUGUUCGUGUCUCCAGCGUCGUAUACGGUACAGUUGUGUCAUGUACUGGAGAUCACCGCUUCCCAGAAUGUCUCUAACGGGUACGUUCGGUUGUUUUCCUCGGGCCCGGAGGGAAUCUAUAAGCUCGGACCUAACAUCACAGAAUUCGCCACA